rnacentral:rRNA from 1 species
ACGUUAAUCGGGGCAGGGUGAGUCGACCCCUAAGGCGAGGCCGAAAGGCGUAGUCGAUGGGAAACAGGUUAAUAUUCCUGUACUUGGUGUUACUGCGAAGGGGGGACGGAGAAGGCUAUGUUGGCCGGGCGACGGUUGUCCCGGUUUAAGCGUGUAGGCUGGUUUUCCAGGCAAAUCCGGAAAAUCAAGGCUGAGGCGUGAUGACGAGGCACUACGGUGCUGAAGCAACAAAUGCCCUGCUUCCAGGAAAAGCCUCUAAGCAUCAGGUAACAUCAAAUCGUACCCCAAACCGACACAGGUGGUCAGGUAGAGAAUACCAAGGCGCUUGAGAGAACUCGGGUGAAGGAACUAGGCAAAAUGGUGCCGUAACUUCGGGAGAAGGCACGCUGAUAUGUAGGUGAAGUCCCUUGCGGAUGGAGCUGAAAUCAGUCGAAGAUACCAGCUGGCUGCAACUGUUUAUUAAAAACACAGCACUGUGCAAACACGAAAGUGGACGUAUACGGUGUGACGCCUGCCCGGUGCCGGAAGGUUAAUUGAUGGGGUCAGCGCAAGCGAAGCUCUUGAUCGAAGCCCCGGUAAACGGCGGCCGUAACUAUAACGGUCCUAAGGUAGCGAAAUUCCUUGUCGGGUAAGUUCCGACCUGCACGAAUGGCGUAAUGAUGGCCAGGCUGUCUCCACCCGAGACUCAGUGAAAUUGAACUCGCUGUGAAGAUGCAGUGUACCCGCGGCAAGACGGAAAGACCCCGUGAACCUUUACUAUAGCUUGACACUGAACAUUGAGCCUUGAUGUGUAGGAUAGGUGGGAGGCUUUGAAGUGUGGACGCCAGUCUGCAUGGAGCCGGCCUUGAAAUACCACCCUUUAAUGUUUGAUGUUCUAACGUGGACCCGUGAUCCGGGUUGCGGACAGUGUCUGGUGGGUAGUUUGACUGGGGCGGUCUCCUCCUAAAGAGUAACGGAGGAGCACGAAGGUUGGCUAAUCCUGGUCGGACAUCAGGAGGUUAGUGCAAUGGCAUAAGCCAGCUUGACUGCGAGCGUGACGGCGCGAGCAGGUGCGAAAGCAGGUCAUAGUGAUCCGGUGGUUCUGAAUGGAAGGGCCAUCGCUCAACGGAUAAAAGGUACUCCGGGGAUAACAGGCUGAUACCGCCCAAGAGUUCAUAUCGACGGCGGUGUUUGGCACCUCGAUGUCGGCUCAUCACAUCCUGGGGCUGAAGUAGGUCCCAAGGGUAUGGCUGUUCGCCAUUUAAAGUGGUACGCGAGCUGGGUUUAGAACGUCGUGAGACAGUUCGGUCCCUAUCUGCCGUGGGCGCUGGAGAACUGAGGGGGGCUGCUCCUAGUACGAGAGGACCGGAGUGGACGCAUCACUGGUGUUCGGGUUGUCAUGCCAAUGGCACUGCCCGGUAGCUAAAUGCGGAAGAGAUAAGUGCUGAAAGCAUCUAAGCACGAAACUUGCCCCGAGAUGAGUUCUCCCUGACCCUUUAAGGGUCCUGAAGGAACGUUGAAGACGACGACGUUGAUAGGCCGGGUGUGUAAGCGCAGCGAUGCGUUGAGCUAACCGGUACUAAUGAACCGUGAGG